UACGGAGGGUGCAAGCGUUAUCCGGAUUCACUGGGUUUAAAGGGAGCGUAGGCGGGCCUGUAAGUCAGUGGUGAAAUCUCCGGGCUUAACUCGGAAACUGCCAUUGAUACUAUAAGUCUUGAAUUAUCUGGAGGUAAGCGGAAUAUGUCAUGUAGCGGUGAAAUGCUUAGAUAUGACAUAGAACACCCAUUGCGAAGGCAGCUUACUACGGGUAUAUUGACGCUGAGGCUCGAAAGCGUGGGGAUCAAACAGG
rnacentral:rRNA from 1 species